rnacentral:lncRNA from 1 species
GAGCUGUCAGUCUUCACCACUUUGUUAGUUUCUGACUAUCUCACCCUUAGAGCAAUGUUGACUUCUACCUUAAGUCAAUCAAUGUGCCCCUCUUUGUAUGCUAAGGCUCAAAUCAUUGAGAAAAACUUUGGUUUCCUUGACUCUUUAACUAUCGAUCCACCAUUAUUGAUUCAAAAAUAGGAGGAAGUGACUCCCUAACCCUCUUCUCUAUAGGUGGUAGCUCCUCUGGUUGUUGAUGAUUCGAUUGGGA